rnacentral:rRNA from 1 species
UUUACCUGUGUGACUGCGUACCUUUUGUAUAAUGGGUCAGCGACUUAUAUUCUGUAGCAAGGUUAACCGAAUAGGGGAGCCGGAGGGAAACCGAGUCUUAACCGGGCGUUAAGUUGCAGGGUAUAGACCCGAAACCCGGUGAUCUAGCCAUGGGCAGGUUGAAGGUUGGGUAACACUAACUGGAGGACCGAACCGACUAAUGUUGAAAAAUUAGCGGAUGACCUGUGGCUGGGGGUGAAAGGCCAAUCAAACCGGGAGAUAGCUGGUUCUCCCCGAAAGCUAUUUAGGUAGCGCCUCGUGAAUUCAUCUCCGGGGGUAGAGCACUGUUUCGGCUAGGGGGCCAUCCCGGCUUACCAACCCGAUGCAAACUGCGAAUACCGGAGAAUGUUAUCACGGGAGACACACGGCGGGUGCUAACGUCCGUCGUGAAGAGGGAAACAACCCAGACCGCCAGCUAAGGUCCCAAAGUCAUGGUUAAGUGGGAAACGAUGUGGGAAGGCCCAGACAGCCAGGAUGUUGGCUUAGAAGCAGCCAUCAUUUAAAGAAAGCGUAAUAGCUCACUGGUCGAGUCGGCCUGCGCGGAAGAUGUAACGGGGCUAAACCAUGCACCGAAGCUGCGGCAGCGAACGUAUCACUUAAAGCGAUUCAGCGGGUUACGAUUGACGGAGCGAAGCGACGUCAAAGCGUAUACAAAGUCGAGUCGGUU